rnacentral:misc_RNA from 1 species
GAUGAAGAACGCAGCGAAAUGCGAUAAGUAAUGUGAAUUGCAGAAUUCAGUGAAUCAUCGAAUCUUUGAACGCACAUUGCGCCCGCCAGUAUUCUGGCGGGCAUGCCUGUUCGAGCGUCAUUUCAACCAUCAAGCCCCCGGCUUGUGUUGGGGACCUGCGGCUGCCGCAGGCCCUGAAAAGCAGUGGCGGGUUCGCUGUCACACCGAGCGUAGUAGCAUACAUCUCGCUCUGGGCGUGCUGCGGGUUCCGGCCGUUAAACCACCUUCAUAACCCAAGGUUGACCUCGGAUCAGGUAGGAAGACCCGCUGAACUUAAGCAUAUCAAUAAGCGGAGGA